GAAAAGGAAAAUCCUACGGAGGAGGUGCUCUGAUGGCUUUGAAGAAGGCAGUGAAUGGCCGCAUGUUCCCUGAGGACAGCACAGGCUAAAGGCUCAGCUUGAAGAAAGGCACAGAGAUAGCAAGGACACUGAAGGAAUUAACCAGAAAGAAAGGAAGAGAAGAAGAAGAAGAAGAAGAAGGAGAAGGAGAAGGAGAAGACGGAAGAGGGAGAAGAGAGAGAAGAGGGGGGAGGAGGAGGAAGGAGAAAGGAGGAAGGAGGAGGAGGAGAAGGAGAAGAAGAAGAGGAG
rnacentral:lncRNA from 1 species